rnacentral:lncRNA from 1 species
GAGGCAAUCUAAUUUUUCCAGUUCGUUUGAAAGAAGCAGAAGCGGGCGAUCUUGGCAUGACACAUGGAGAUCAUAUGAUAAUUCACAUUCUAGAUGGUAAAAAUGCAGUGAAAGGCAUCUUUGUGUUAUCUCUAUAUUAAGAUCUUGUAAGUGAUAGGAAGUUUCUAAUUAAUACAAAGUUCAAUGGCAAUUGCUUAGGAAUUGAAAACAUUGAAUAUAUAUAUAUAUAUAUAUAUAUAUAGAUGUUUAUGUUCAAUCAAUGCAUUGUAAGUGUAAGUCUAAGGUUAAUUAUUGAAAAGUUCAAUAUUAAGAUCUUGUAAGUGAUAGGAAGUUUCUAAUUAAUACAAAGUUCAAUGGCAAUUGCUUAGGAAUUGAAAACAUUGAAUAUAUAUAUAUAUAUAUAUAUAUGUUUAUGUUCAAUCAAUGCAUUGUAAGUGUAAGUCUAAGGUUAAUUAUUGAAAAGUUCAAUAUUAAGAUCUUGUAAGUGAUAGGAAGUUUCUAAUUAACACAAAGUUCAAUGGCAAUUGCUUAGGAAUUGAAAACAUUGAAUAUAUAUAUAUAUAUAUAUAUGUUUAUGUUCAAUCAAUGCAUUGUAAGUGUAAGUCUAAGGUUAAUUAUUGAAAAGUUCAAUAUUAAGAUCUUGUAAGUGAUAGGAAGUUUCUAAUUAACACAAAGUUCAAUGGCAAUUGCUUAGGAAUUGAAAACAUUGAAUAUAUAUAUAUAUAUAUAUAUGUUUAUGUUCAAUCAAUGCAUUGUAAGUGUAAGUCUAAGGUUAAUUAUUGAAAAGUUCAAUAUUAAGAUCUUGUAAGUGAUAGGAAGUUUCUAAUUAACACAAAGUUCAAUGGCAAUUGCUUAGGAAUUGAAAACAUUGAAUAUAUAUAUAUAUGUUUAUGUUCAAUCAAUGCGUUGUAAGUGUAAGCCUAAGGUUAAUUAUUGAAAAGUUCAAUAUUAAGAUCUUGUAAGUGAUAGGAAGUUUCUAAUUAACACAAAAUUCAAUGGCAAUUGCUUUGGAAUUGAAAACAUUGAAUAUAUAUAUAUAUAUAUAUUCAAUGUUUAUGUUCAAUCAAUUCUAAUCCCAAUGUUUGUCAAUGGAAACUUCAUGUAUUCACAAGUUAAUUUUCUUGUUUCAUAAACUAAUUCGAUCCUUCCAAUGGCUUGUUAGACUACAAGCCAUACAUAAUUGCUAGCAGCAUAAAAUAAAUUGAGUAAGCGAAAACAUUUUGAUUAAAAGAAUGUUUUUUGUUAGCUUCUCUUGAAUUUUUAAUUAUUUUUAUAUUUUUAGUUGUUAUAUUACACUGUAUAUAGUCUUUGAUCGAAUUUAAUCGGUUUAGUCACAAUUUUAGAUUAUCCUUCACAGUGAAAAGGAGACACGAUCGAACCGAUCAAGCACGAUCAAAUCGAUCAAACCGAUCAAUACGUUAACACAAAGUUCAAUGGCAAUUGCUUAGGAAAAUUGAAAACAUUGAAUAUAUAUAUAUAUAUAUAUGUUUAUGUUCAAUCAAUGCGUUGUAAGUGUAAGCCUAAGGUUAAUUAUUGAAAAGUUCAAUAUUAAGAUCUUGUAAGUGAUAGGAAAUUAGGAAUUCUUACAGUUCUCCAUAUGAUAGAGGGCACUGGUCUGGGAGGCAAUCUAAUUUUUCCAAUUCGUUUGAAAGAAGCAGAAGCGGGCGAUCUUGGCAUGACACAUGGAGAUCAUAUGAUAAUUCACAUUCUAGAUGGUAAAAAUGCAGUGAAAGGCAUCUUUG